AGGGAAUCGUGGUUAAGGAAUUCGGCAAAAUACCCCCGUAACUUCGGGAGAAGGGGGGCCCCCAGGGUGACGGGACUUGCUCCCCGAGCCUGAACGGCCGCAGAGACCAGGGAGAAGCGACUGUUUACUAAAAACACAGGUCCGUGCCAAGUCGCAAGACGAUGUAUACGGACUGACGCCUGCCCGGUGCUGGAACGUUAAGGGGACCGGUUAGCCUCACGGCGAAGCUGAGAACUUAAGCGCCAGUAAACGGCGGUGGUAACUAUAACCAUCCUAAGGUAGCGAAAUUCCUUGUCGGGUAAGUUCCGGCCUGCACGAAUGGCGUAACGAUUUCUCCACUGUCUCAACCACGAACUCGGCGAAAUUGCACUACGAGUAAAGAUGCUCGUUACGCGCAGAAGGACGGAAAGACCCCGGGACCUUUACUACAGCUUGGUAUUGGUGUUCGGUACGGCUUGUGUAGGAUAGGUGGGAGACUGUGAAGCUGACACGCCAGUGUCGGUGGAGUCAACGUUGAAAUACCACUCUGGUCGUUCUGGAUAUCUAACCUAGGUCCGUGAUCCGGAUCAGGGACAGUGCCUGGUGGGUAGUUUAACUGGGGCGGUUGCCUCCUAAAAGGUAACGGAGGCGCCCAAAGGUUCCCUCAGCCUGGUUGGCAAUCAGGUUUUGAGUGUAAGUGCACAAGGGAGCUUGACUGUGAGACUGACAAGUCGAACAGGGACGAAAGUCGGGACUAGUGAUCCAGCGGUGGCUUGUGGAAGCGCCGUCGCUCAACGGAUAAAAGGUACCCCGGGGAUAACAGGCUGAUCUUGCCCAAGAGUCCAUAUCGACGGCAUGGUUUGGCACCUCGAUGUCGGCUCGUCGCAUCCUGGGGCUGGAGUAGGUCCCAAGGGUUGGGCUGUUCGCCCAUUAAAGCGGUACGCGAGCUGGGUUUAGAACGUCGUGAGACAGUUCGGUCCCUAUCCUCUGCGCGCGCAGGAAACUUGAGAAGGGCUGUCCCUAGUACGAGAGGACCGGGAUGGACGAACCUCUGGUGUGUCAGUUGUUCUGCCAAGAGCACCGCUGAUUAGCUACGUUCGGGAGUGAUAACCGCUGAAAGCAUCUAAGCGGGAAGCAUGCUUCAAGAUGAGGUUUCCAUGGGGUUUACCCCGAGAGGCUCCCAGCUUGACUACUGGGUUGAUAGGCCGGAUGUGGAAGUGCGGUAACGCAUGGAGCUGACCGGUACUA
rnacentral:rRNA from 1 species